rnacentral:rRNA from 1 species
UACGUAGGGUGCAAGCGUUACUCGGAAUUACUGGGCGUAAAGCGUGCGCAGGCGGCUUUGCAAGACAGAUGUGAAAUCCCCGGGCUUAACCUGGGAACUGCAUUUGUGACUGCAAGGCUAGAGUACGGUAGAGGGGGAUGGAAUUCCGCGUGUAGCAGUGAAAUGCGUAGAUAUGCGGAGGAACACCGAUGGCGAAGGCAAUCCCCUGGACCUGUACUGACGCUCAUGCACGAAAGCGUGGGGAGCAAACAGG